rnacentral:lncRNA from 1 species
UCGUACUGAUGCAAUUAAAAUGGAAGCAGUGUCCUAUGACUAGCUGACCAACUACAGAGUACAGGCAAUUAGCCAACGUGGAAGGCCUGAAGCUAAUAUAUUGACAUGAAAGCAUUUGCCUGUGCCCUUGUCAGACAGUACAAUUAUGAAUACGUAUGUCAAAACCGGGAUCAGCUCAGAAGCAGAAAUGUGCAUUACAUGUACAGGAAAGAGUUUGUAAAAGUAGCUACACAGAACUGAUGUGUAUGUGAAUAUAUCUGCUGAUAACUUUCUCUUCGUGUUGGCAAAUGAAAGCACAUUUGAUUUGAAACUGCUCAAAGUGGAGGAAUUUCAAGAGACCGCUUGAUUUUAUAAAGGGUUUCUGCACACAUGUGCAUGCACACACAUUUUUUUGGCAAGUUCUCCUGAGCUGUCUCCAUAUUCCAUCUGGCAGGGUUCAAGCCACAAGCCUUUUUUUUUUGUGUGUGUGUGCUGCUGCAUUGUGGUUUGUUAACUCAAACUUUGAAAAAAAAAUAAACUGUGCUAAUGAUGCCAAUCUGGCUGCUGCCCUGCCAGCUUUUUGCAAUUUUCCCAUAACCCUGAGCUGCAUGCCAUGUGUGAGGGAUGGCUAUGCAUCAACUCUCCUGCGAAACACUGGGAAAUCUGUUAAUUACUUUGCUCCUUAAUGAAGUGAUGCGCUAGAGCUGAGUGUGGUUACAGUAAAGCAGCUCAACAUAGCAAGAUGAGUUUAAGAUGCAUUUGCAACAAAUACCUUGAAAAUAUGCUGAGCACGUGAAAGAGCAGGAAUAUGACAGAGGAGAGAUCAUGUUGAACUGGAGAGCCUUUGGGAAAAUACCUGACACGUCAUACUGCCUGGCCCAUUCCAAAACCCAAGAGUUUGUCCUGGGACUGCAUUCAUCAGCCUUGUUUUCAUCUGACACAAACAAUUUAACAGGAUCCAGAGAGUCCAGCAGUGCCAGUGCGUUAUUCCUGCCUGUGGAAAGGUACCCGUUCUCUGAUUGACUGAUUAUGGCAAAAAGGAAAAAUCAUAUCCACCAGAUGCAUCAGAAGAAGACAUAAAACAUACAUAAAAAUGUCAGUUUAUUAUGUCAUCACAGACACCAGC